ACGGAAGGCAGCAGUGAGGAAUAUUGGUCAAUGGACGAGAGUCUGAACCAGCCAAGUAGCGUGCAGGAUGACGGCCCUAUGGGUUGUAAACUGCUUUUGUACGGGAAUAAAGUGACCUACGUGUAGGUUUUUGCAUGUACCGUAAGAAUAAGGACCGGCUAAUUCCGUGCCAGCAGCCGCGGUAAUACGGAAGGUCCGGGCGUUAUCCGGAUUUAUUGGGUUUAAAGGGGGCGUAGGCCGUGCUUUAAGCGUGUUGUGAAAUGUAGGCGCCCAACGUCUGCACUGCAGCGCGAACUGGAGCACUUGAGUACGCAGGAAGUAGGCGGAAUUCGUCGUGUAGCGGUGAAAUGCUUAGAUAUGACGAAGAACUCCGAUUGCGUAGGCAGCUGACCAAGCCGAAAAUGACGCUCAUGCACGAAAGUGCGGGGAUCGAACAGGAUUAGAUACCUGGUA
rnacentral:rRNA from 1 species